GGAAUUACUGGGCGUAAAGCGCACGUAGGCGGAUCGAUCAGUCAGGGGUGAAAUCCCAGGGCUCAACCCUGGAACUGCCUUUGAUACUGUCGAUCUGGAGUAUGGAAGAGGUGAGUGGAAUUCCGAGUGUAGAGGUGAAAUUCGUAGAUAUUCGGAGGAACACCAGUGGCGAAGGCGGCUCACUGGUCCAUUACUGACGCUGAGGUGCGAAAGCGUGGGGAGCAAACAGGAUUAGAAACCCCUGUAGUCC
rnacentral:rRNA from 1 species